rnacentral:snRNA from 1 species
AUGCUUGCUUCAGCAGCACAUAUACUAAAAUUAGCAUGAUACAGAGAAGAUUAACAUGGCCCCUGCACAAGAAUGGCAGACAAAUUCAUGAAGUGCUCCAUAUCUAU